ensembl:lncRNA
CCUUGACAAAAAGAGAUAUGUCGGGCUGUUCGGAGUCUACUGCCAGAGCCGCGCUGGUUUCGUCCAACGUGUCGUUCUCCAGAGUUACGAGGCUGAAUCCGCUAGUCUCCUCCGCUUCUGGAAGGACCUGCUCAGCUUCGGGAACGCAUGCCACCACCGCCACAUCUUCUUCUGGUUCUUGUUUUUUCCACGGUUCCUACCACUACGAGCGGGAUCGGAGGAUCUUCACACGGAUCUCCGUGUGCAUCGGAAGAUGCUGAGGAGGACCGUCUCGAGCCGGUACCCUCUCCAUCUCCUACCGCCUCCUCCCCACCUUCCGUCAAUCGCAGUUCCUCCAUCUUCGCCUCCACUUGUGAGUCCUCCACAAUUGCCUCCACUUGUGGCUCCUCCACCUUCGCCUCUACUUGUAGCUCCUCCACCUUUGCCUCUUCUUGUGGCUCCUCCACAUUCACCUCUUGUUCCUCCUGCGCCUUCGCCUCCACUGGUUGCUCCACCUGCGCCUCGACUUCUUGCUCCUCCACCUGCGCCUGCACUUGUUGCUCGACCUUCACGUCCACUUGUGGCUCCUCCACCUUCGCCUCUACUUGUUGCUCCACCUGCUCCUCCUCGUCCACCAUGAUGGUGUCUCUGGUGUCUAUGUAGUCGGGCGAUGAGCGCUUCUCUUCUUCCACUUCGACUGGAGGAGCGCUGACCUGCUGUUCCUCGCUGUUGGACUCUCUCAACUCCUGGGCGUCUCCUGGGUUCUUCUCGCACACCGGCGCUGGGUUCUUGUGAUGAUCCGCUGCUUUUUCAGAAAUAUUGAUUUCAUCACUGAUCCUCUCGCUUGCGUCUUCCAUGUUCGUUGGGUUAUGCUGAUGUGAAAGUAGAAACCUGCAAUUCAGUUGUUUGCAGUAGUGGUAGUGAAGCGGCCAAACUAAGGCGAUUCAAAGUCAUAAGGGUUACACACACGCGCUAACACACUCAUACACUACCCGAGCUGCCACGUCCCCGAAUGCGCACACGGUCGAAUUCCAGGGAUAACUUACACGAGAUCUUUGAG